GUUUUAUAUAUCAAAUGUCACAGCAGUAAUAACCAUUCUCCAAAAAUGAACAAAAACACACAAAAAUCAUAAAACUGCAUUGACAAGAAUGCAUUGUUUCUACAUGAACUGUUACAGCUCCGUUGUCGAAGCUAGAAUAUAUUCAUACAUUCAGCGCAUGACUGAAUGUAUUAAAAACUCUACAAUGAGCACUUCCACAAUGCUAGCAGACACAGGUACAGAUCCAUCACUGAUGCAAACAGAUGAACGGGAGCUAAGGAUUCCUAAUCAGGGACUGAAUGACCUUUUAACGGCUGUCUUUAAAUGGUGACUGAUGAGAGGUUGUUGAAAGGCAGUGAGAACAGGAAAGCUCUGACAGGUUUGGAUUUCAGACGUCAAACGUAACAAACAAAAACAUGCGGCAUGGUUCUGUUAAUUGAAGGUAGCUAAUUACAAUCACCCAGCUUACUGACAACUGGUCAGUGUAGAAUUAGCCCACAUACUGGAAAAUUGGUUCAUUUCUAAUAGAUAGUAAAUCUGGUGUUGCAGUUUCCAAUUAUCAGCUGCUAUUUACUUUUCAUGUCAACGUGUGACACAAAAAAUGGCUCAAGCACCACACAGCUAGUUUCUUAUGUUUGGCCCAAUAACAAAAAUAUACAUUUUAAGUUACUGUUACUAAAAUGUAGCAGUGAAUGGAAAUCAAGUUCAGGUAACUUUGUGUAGGACAGCUGUUUAAUACUAAAGAAAACACCUACUUUAUAUUCUUUGGGAUCUGAUUUGCUGCCUCAGUGCAGAGCUGAAUCCAUAUAAAAUUAAUAUGCUACUCCAGCUGUGAUUUUGAUUACAGUUAUAACAAAAAUAAUUAACUAAAGCUGCAUUAAGUGAAACAUUCCAGGCAAAGUAACACAGCUGGAGUUAAAACUGAUUUAGUGACAGAAAAAGACUUUCCAGGUUCUCUGCAUGCUGCUGUCUGAACUCUUGACGCUUGACUGAAGACGGUUUUGUCAAAGACCCACCACUCUGUUGGGAUAAAUAAGUGAGCUGUGCUUUUCUGUAAUCUGCACAGUGACGGGUCUUUCUCUACAGAAACAAUCAUGUACAUGUUCCAACAUUAGCUUAAACAAGUGAAGUGUAGAACUGUUCACACCGUCAACAAGAAACUUUACAAGUCAAAAAUUCAGUUCAGACCAGUCAGAAAGUAACAGUCUUUACUGGCAGCUUCUAACUGAAUCCACAUUUACAAAUUUAAACCUGACUUUACACAAACUAUUUGAUCCCAAUAGUAAAUGAUAUCCUGAUUCACACUUAUGAGCUUAAUGAGCACCAAAUGUUUAAAGAAGUUAAACUCAGACCUGUGUGGACCUUCUUCACAGCCGACGUUGUAGCUCUUGAUAGCAAGAAAAACGUGGCGCUGGUAACAUCCACAGCAGCAGUCUAUGUAGGUUAGCUGGUUUUAGUGCCCUGUUGUUGUGCAUGCUGACUCACCGUCAUGGCUUAAAGGGACACUGACUUGAACUGAGCCGGGUGGAUGUUACGUGCCUCACCUGUGCUUUUCCUGCUUUGACGAAUCAAAACAUCUGCUGUAAUAAAGAUCUAUUCAGAGAA